rnacentral:rRNA from 1 species
GAUGAACGCUAGCGGGAGGCUUAACACAUGCAAGUCGAGGGGCAGCAUAGGGUAGCAAUACUCUGAUGGCGACCGGCAAACGGGUGAGUAACGCGUAUGCAACCUACCCUGUACAGGGGGAUAACCCGGAGAAAUUCGGACUAAUAUCCCGUAAUAAUAUCCGGAGGCAUCUUUGGAUAUUUAAAGUUCCGACGGUACGGGAUGGGCAUGCGUAACAUUAGCUGGUUGGUAAGGUAACGGCUUACCAAGGCUAUGAUGUUUAGGGGUCCUGAGAGGGUGGUCCCCCACACUGGUACUGAGACACGGACCAGACUCCUACGGGAGGCAGCAGUGAGGAAUAUUGGUCAAUGGGCGCAAGCCUGAACCAGCCAUCCCGCGUGCAGGAAGACGGCCCUAUGGGUUGUAAACUGCUUUUCCAGGGAGAGAAACUUACGCACGUGUUGCGUGACUGACGGUACCCUGGGAAUAAGCAUCGGCUAACUCCGUGCCAGCAGCCCGCGGUAAACACGAGAGUA